rnacentral:rRNA from 1 species
CACGUAGGGUGCGAGCGUUGUCCGGAAUUAUUGGGCGUAAAGAGCUCGUAGGCGGUGUGUCGCGUCGGCCGUGAAAACCUGCAGCUUAACUGUGGGCUUGCGGUCGAUACGGGCAUCACUGGAGUUCGGCAGGGGAGACUGGAAUUCCUGGUGUAGCGGUGAAAUGCGCAGAUAUCAGGAGGAACACUGGUGGCGAAGGCGGGUCUCUGGGCCGAUACUGACGCUGAGGAGCGAAAGCGUGGGGAGCGAACAGG